rnacentral:SRP_RNA from 1 species
GCUGGGCGUGGUGGUGCGCGCCUGUAAUCCCAGCUACUCUGGAGGCUGAGGCAGGAGAAUCGCUUGAACCCAGGAGUCAGAGGUUGCAGUGAGCCGAGAUCGCGCCAUUGCAUUCCAGCCUGGGCAAUAGAGUGAGACUUCGUCUCAA